rnacentral:rRNA from 1 species
UCUGCGAUAAGCGCCGGUAAGGUGAUAUGAACCGUUAUAACCGGCGAUACCCGAAUGGGGAAACCCAGUGUGAUUCGUCACACUAUCAUUAACUGAAUCCAUAGGUUAAUGAGGCGAACCGGGGGAACUGAAACAUCUAAGUACCCCGAGGAAAAGAAAUCAACCGAGAUUCCCCCAGUAGCGGCGAGCGAACGGGGAGGAGCCCAGAGCCUGAAUCAGCAUGUGUGUUAGUGGAAGCGUCUGGAAAGGCGCGCGAUACAGGGUGACAGCCCCGUACACAAAAGCGCAUGUGCUGUGAGCUCGAUGAGUAGGGCGGGACACGUGGUAUCCUGUCUGAAUAUGGGGGGACCAUCCUCCAAGGCUAAAUACUCCUGACUGACCGAUAGUGAACCAGUACCGUGAGGGAAAGGCGAAAAGAACCCCGGCGAGGGGAGUGAAAAAGAACCUGAAACCGUGUACGUACAA